CGGCAAAAGCUCAAAUUUGAAAUCCGGUACCUUUGGUGCCCCAGUUGUAAUUUGAAGGUAGUUUUCUGGUGCUGGCCCUUGUCUAUGUUCCUUGGAACAGGACGUCAUAGAGGGUGAGAAUCCCGUCUGAUGGGGUGUCCAGUGCUUUGUAGAUUUCUACCGAAGAGUCGAGUUGUUUGGGAAUGCAGCUCUAAGUGGGUGGUAAAUUCCAUCUAAAGCUAAAUAUUGGCGAGAGACCGAUAGCGAACAAGUACAGUGAUGGAAAGAUGAAAAGAACUUUGAAAAGAGAGUGAAAAAGUACGUGAAAUUGUUGAAAGGGAAGGGUAUUGGAUCAGACUUGGUGUUUUGUGAUUAUCUUCCCCUCGUGGGUUGUGCACUCGCAUUUCACUGGGCCAGCAUCGAUUCGGAUGGCAAGAUAAUGGCUUGAGAACGUGGCACUCUUCGGGGUGUGUUAUAGCUCUUGUUGAUGUUGCCUAUCUGGAUCGAGGACUGCGGCUUCUGCCUAGGAUGCUGGCGUAAUGAUUCAAUACCGCCCGUCUUG
rnacentral:rRNA from 1 species